CGUAUAAUUAUCUUAUUAAUAGCUUUUUGUACACUUUUUAUAACAUAUAAUUAUGUUUUUAAAUAAUUUUUCAGAAGUGUUUCUUAGAAAAGUGGAACUAUGAAUAAUAGUAAUAUCAAAUUUCAUUAAACGAAAACAAAAAUAUUCUCUCAAUCAACCGCCGAAAUACCGAUAUCGAGAGAAAAUAAUUAAACGAUUCUUUUUCAGCACUUAUUUUGUAUUUUAGAGGGCGUCGCAUUUG